GUUACCGGAAAAUUUGAAGCAGAUUGUCGUGAAAAUGACGCCGUUCGUGUGAACUUCAUCCGACUGGCUACUGAAAAAUUCGAAGGAGAUUGUCGUCAAAACGACGCCGUUCGUACGAACCUCAUCUGACUGGUUAAUGGAAAAAGCUCCUCCACUGAUAUCUACUUCCAUAAAUUCGAUCCGAAACGCUCCACUUCGUUAUACCAUUCCAAUCGGAUUUCUGCUGAUUUUGUUCCUCCGCCGGUGCUGCAGCGGCGGCGACGGCGACGGCGGAAAUGGGAAGACGAUGAAAGCUCCGGGAAGGAAUAAUGUAAGGAUACCAAGGCGUAGUUUUGAAAGCAGUCCUAAAUCCUAUUUCCGCGAUCUCCGCUCCCGAAAAAACUAAUUUCGGUAUAAUUAUUUGGUAUUUGAUAUCUACUUAUUUUAUUUAAUUUUUAAGUUCUGACUCGAAACCUUUAGUUAAAAAUAAAGGUAUCGUGAUAUCACUUAUGGAGUGGAUUUAUGUAAUUUUGUAUAUUAUGUGUUUGUAUUUCGAAUUUUAUAAAUAUUUGAUUAUGAAUUUAAUUAUUUUAUAGUAAUGUGAAAUUAUUAUAAAGAUUCAUAAAUUGGGACGGAGAGAGUAUUUAUUGAAGUGGGACAGGCUUAGAUGCAUCUACAAUCCAACUGUAUCGAUCCAAUAAUUAAUGUUGUUGGAUGAAAGUUAGGUGAGAAAUUAAUAUCAAACCUUGUGAAAUUGUUUAUGUACACUAUUGAUCUGAAAAAAGUUUGUAUCAAAGAGAGAAAACUAAAAGGCGAAUUAGUCUUGAAUCGAAGAGUAGAGGUAAGAUCUGCGUACAUUCUGAUAUUUUUCAAUUGAAUUUUGUGGAAUUACGUUGAAUAUGUUGUUGUUGUUGUUGUCGUCGUAAGUAGAGCGAUGGAAUUUGGAAGAGGUGAAUUGAAGGUAAGAGGUACAGCAGUAAUGGAGAAGAUAAAAUCAAUAGAAGAUAUUUUGAAGAUGUUGAUGGAUUCCCCAGUAGGAUUUAUCAUUUCAAUUGGGUUGAUUGUGAUUUUGUUGUCCUUAAUUUGUCGUUGCUGCUGCAGAGGAAAUAAUAAUAGGAGAAAUGUGGGGAUGAUGCGUCGUAGAAAAUAUUAUUGAAGUCAGUGAUCGUAUGAAAAAUUUAACAUCUUAUAUAUACUAGAGUUCAUCUAUAAUCUUUCAACAAAGGCGAUUCAAUUGUUCCACUGGCUCCGCCCCUGAUUACAGGAAUGUACUAAUGUGUAUUGUGUUGGCUGCACCACCAUGCCCACCGUCUGUAAUUCCUUUCUUUUUGAAUUUGAAGUUAGGAGGGUAUUACACGAGUUUGUAAAUCGAAAUGAAAAUCGAACGUUUCCUAGUUAAAAAAUGUGGAAUUUCGUUUGAAUUAUCAUUUGUCAGGACUCUUUCGCAUAAGUUGCUUGAUUUGGAUAUAAGGCAUUUAUUCUGUUAUUAUUUUUGUAUUCUCUGUAACGGAUAAUAACCACAUAGUAAUAGAGAUUGAUACGAUUCAAUUCAAUAUUUUGUUCGUUCGAAUUUGAUUGUGUCGUAACUUUAUAAGUCGGAUUAACCAUUGAUAUUACCCAAAUAGUAGUAUGCAAUUCAUCUCAUUAAUUCCCACAUCUUUUGAUGCCUCAAUUUUCCAAUCGACAACAGGGUAACCGUAAUAGACAUUCAAUAACAUUAAAUAUAUAUUUAUUAAAUUCACCCGAAAUAUUUAGUGAAAAAUGAAGGUAUACAUAUAUGUCACGACAAGUGAUUAUUAAUCUUAUAAAAGUAUAAGUUUCGUCAAGUACUUUGAUUGUGUAUUGCAGUACGCUUGAGUAUUAUUUUUUUUAUAAUUUGAAGUGUUUUGGUUUGAUCAUAGAUUUUUAUAAUACAAUUACAUUGUAUUUUACAUUGAAAAAAUUAAAUUUUUAUGAGUAGAAAUUGAAAUUUGAAAAUCAAAAGUGUUUUAAGAUUCUUCAUUAUUAAGUUACCUUAUUUUGUCUUUUUUCUUUUGGGUCAAUUACUUUUUGGUGACAAAUGACAAUGUAGCAAUAGCUAUUUUGAAUUUCUAAAAAUAUGACCUACUACAAUCACGCUCACAAUAAUCUUGGGUAAAUUUGAUAAUUUUAUGAAAACUUUAUGUUAAAUUUUUAUUUUUAUACAGGUAAUCUUUGUAAAGUUAUUUUCUUAUCAAAUGUUCCAUUUUCACUCUUUUUUUUCCUUCCCAUAUAUAUAUAUGUUUAACCUAGCUAGUCGAGUAGUAGUACAUUUAGAGCUUAUUUGGAUUGAUUUAUUUCAAUUAUGUUAAUUUGUAAAUAUUUUUAGUACAGUAUUAUUUGAAUAAAUUAAAAAAUUACUUAUAUAAGGACUUAAUUUUAAGCUAAAAUAAUAAAAGUCAAAAUCCAAAAUCAUAAAUUUAAAUUUCUAACCUGUAAACAGAAAAACCCAAUAUCUAAUUCAAACAUAUGCUUACACUUACAGUCAAUUACUCUCUCGGUUCCUAAUUACUUGUUCACUUUUUCUUUUUUAGGUGUACCUAAUUACUUGUCUAUUUUGACAAAUCAAGAAAAGACAUUCUUUUACCUAUUAUACCCUCAAUUUAUUAUUUUGAAAAAAAAUAGAAAUUCUUGAAAAUCUUAAGUUUUUAAUUCAUCAUUUCACAAAUUAAUAAGGGUAAAAUGGUAAACUCACUAUGUCAAUCAUUAUUUUCUUAAUAGGUAUAUCAAUUUAAAAGUGGACAAGUAAUUAGGGACGAAGAAAAUAGUAUUUAACUAAAUAACUGUUUAUUUAAAGCAAAUGAUUCUUUGCGGUCAUGAAAUGGAAGGAUUAAAGUUGAAGUCUUAUAAAAGUGAAAAUAUUACUAUUAUCUUUUGUACUAAAAAGAAAACUUGGGUGGAAGAUGUGUCCCACCCACAUGCCAUGAGACUAAAAGAAAUGUAGAAUGUAAAUUACUAGGAAUGAGACACAAAAUUUUAUUUUAUAGGGAGAUAUCAUACUUCCUUACAAAUAUAUCUUUUUCUUUCUAUCAAGAGAUCUAGAUAGAAAAAAAAAUGGUUAUGAAGGAAAUAAUGAGCUUUGUGAUGGAGAAAUUGAAGGAAGCCAUACUCAUACUGAUGAAUUUUGGUGGUCAAGUGCUACAAAUAAUGAUGAAUUUUAUUGGCCAAUUGUUAAUGAAACCCGUAAACUUGGUCGGACAAGGGCUAUUGUUCCUCAAAAAUUUUGGUUGGCAAAUACUAUUGUCGCUGCUAAAAGUUUUCAGUCAAGUGCCACUUGCCCUCAAGAAUUUUGGUUGGCAAGUAUUAUUGUCACUACAAAAUGUUUUCGGACAAAUGUCACUUGCCCUGAGAAAUUUUGGUUGGCAAGUACUAUUGUCACUGCAAAAUGUUUUCGGACAAGUGUCACUUGUCCUUAGGAGAUUUGGUUGGCAAGUGCUACUAGCGCUUGAGAAUUUUGGUGGGCAAGCGCUAGCAGCGCUUGACAAUUUCACUUGGCAAGUGAAGAGUUUAUAUAUGAAUUGGUUUGACGAGUUGUUUUCACUAGAGACAAGAAUCGAGAAGAUGAUCAAAUAUUGGUUUCACUUAGCUUUACACUUUCUCAUAAUAGCGGUAUUUCUAGCUAUCUUCAUAUACUUUUUCUACUUCCAAGUCGGAAUACUGCUCAGUAUAAUGGAUCAUCUCAAAACCGCGUGUGUUAUGUUGAUUAAGAUUGUGAGUCUCUUUAUAGAUUGUUGCAAGACCGUGAAAGAUCUCUUUAUGUAUUGUUGGAAGACGACUGUGAAUGAUCUCUUUAUAUAUUGUUGGAAGACUGUGAAAGAUCUCUUUAUAUAUUGUUCGAGAUCAAGCAAAAAACUUAUUAUCAUGAUGAUGAGAUAUCUAUUUUUAUGUUGCUUGAGAAGCAAAAAACCUAUUGGCAAGAUGAUGAAAGCUCCUGGUGAUAUGCUUGUCUAGCUAAUUAAGCAUUUUAAUUUGAUGAAGAUCUACAAUCUACAAUGAGCACAACCUUUUGUAAUGAUAACUACUCCCUUAGUUUAUAUUUACUUGUCAUAUUUGGGAGAAAAUGUUCAAAAUCGUCCUUGAUCGUCACAUGAUUGAAGUUAUAUUUGGGAGAAGUCAUCACAUUGAAAAUUCAAAUGAAGGAUAAAAUUGGAAGAAACACUCUAAAAGUAGUCUUGAAAAAUGAAUAAUUAAGUUAACUUGAAAAAUGAAAAAUGAUUCAAAAAAUCUGGCUUUUCUUCAAGAACAAGAGCACGCAUUUAAAUCAGGACAAUUGGGAAAGGGAAAGGGACAGAAGAGAAGAAGAUGAAAUUAGCUUUUGGUUGCUAUUAAUUAAAGUUUUCUUAAUAGAUUGGUGCUAAUCUCUUACUAAAUAUUAUGCACAUAUUUUUAAAUUUUUAUUAUUGUUGUAAUUGUAACUAAAAAUGCUAGACAAUGAAAUUUACCAUUAUUUUAUAUUUCUUAAUGGGAAAAGGGUUAUAUUUAUCAUUGUACUUUUAGAAAAGAAUUAUAUUUACUUUUCGUCAUAUUUUUUUGGUAUAUUUGCUCUUAUCAUCCAAUUUUGGGCAUAUAUUUGCCUUUUGGGAUGUUAACUCAUGUCUUUACCCUUGUUAUGUUAUGUGAUCUUGAUACACAACAACAAUCAAUUUUCGGGUAUAUUGUUUAGAUGAUGCUAUGCGUCAAUCAAUUAGUUUUAAGGGUAUACAUGACCCAAAAGAUUGAUGUACAAAAAGAAUGUUAUCUUACUAUAAUUAUUAGAAACAAUUUAACUUUGAAAUUUCUCUUAAUGAAAUAAUUUAUAACUAUACAAAUAUCUAAAAUUAUUUUGGACCACAAAUUUUAAAAGUCUUUCUUCUUUUUUCAAACACCAUGCAAAGUUAAACGGUACCAUAUAAAAUGAGUGAGAGAUAGUAAUAAUUAUAUGUGUCUUUUGUCAUUAUCUUUGCCCAACUAAUCCAUUGGAGAAAAUUGGGGUUCAUCCACCAACUUUAGCUAAAUAAAUUGUGUUUCUAAAAAAGCUUUCAUCUUGACCAUAAAAGUCUUCUUAUGAAAGAAUAGAAUAUGAAAAGUUAGAAAAUUAAUAUUUAUCUAAACUAAUAUGUUAAGGUUGUUCCAUAUUUUAUGUGAAAAAUGGACCCCAGAUAUUUCAGAAAGAAUUGCUUAUAAACACAAAACUAAUAUUAAAUAUUAAAACUCAACUAGGUCAGUCAACAAGAGUUUUUUUUUUUUUUUUGUAUUUGAAUUGUUCAUAUCUCAACUUAUUAUAAUUUCAUAACAAUUAUUUAUUUAUGCUGAAUAGGUUUAGUGCAUUCAAAUGUUAUAUAAUUUUUGAAAUUAUUAUGAUAAUAUUCAUUUAAAGAUUUUUUAAAGUAAACUUUUUGCUAGAAUUCUAUCUAACCCCCAAAGCCCAAGCUUACUGGACACAAAUUUUUAAAAAGUAAUAGAAAAUUUUUUAUUUGUAAUUUUAAAUUAAAAAUGUGUGUGUAUAUCAAAUUUAUUCUUUUAUAGCUUUAAAUACACAUGGUAAAAUAUUGAAAUUAAGGAUUUACUACUCAAUGUAACCAAUAACAUUAUUUUUCAAAUGUUUUCUUUUCAAAAGUAACACAAUUUAAUUAAAACAGAAAAGUAGUUGUAGUAUAUCAUAUGCAUUUAGAUUGAGAAAAUGAUCAAAUGCCUCCCUAAUCUAUAGUCGAAUUCUCAACUACACACUUAUAUUUUACGGAUGUCCUAUUACCCCCUUGAACUAUUUUAAGCGGAAUAAAUGCACCCUUAAGUGCUGACAUGGCACAGAGAGUGUGUUCACUCUCUUAAAGACAUGUGAGAGAUAAAGAACUGAUCAAAAAAAUAUUUUAAAAAUAUUUUAACUUUUUGUUAAAUACAUUUUCCAACUUUUGCCUUUAAUUUUAUUUUCUUUACUUUUUUCAUUUCUUUUUCCUUUUAUCAUUUUUCCUCCUCUCUCUCUCUCAUCACUCAACACCCUCCCUACCUAUACAUCUCCACGACCAUUGUUGAACCACUAUGGCAGCCCCAUCUCCUCACCCAUCUUCUAAUCCGUUUUCAUAAUUUGUCUCACAAUUAUUCACAACCAUCAAAAUCACCAAAUAAUCAUUAAAACUAUUAUUUAUGUAGUAAAAAAUAAAUCAAAGUCAUUAAUUUUCUUGCUCAGACAAAAUUUAUCAAGCUUCAAAUCUUAUUUUUUGUCUUUAUUAAUGUCUGAUGAAGAAUUUAAACUACACACAAUAAGAAUUUCACGAAGUUGAGCAACAACAAUCAAUUGAUUCUACUCAAUACCGAUAAUUCAGUGAUUUCUUCUAGUGUAGAAAGCCUAAAUCCUCCACUAUUUAAAAAUAAAUAAAAGGGUGUAUCCAUCCUCAAUCAUAAGACGAGUAGUGAGAACUUCAAGCUUAAGAUUGGUAUUACAAUUGUGGAAUUUGAGUGGGAGAGGUGAAAAUGGAGGUUUAAAUAGUUAAUAAAGUAGUUGUGGUGUUGCUGAUGAAUAUUGAUAUUUAAUUUGUGGGUUAUAGAAGGAUGGAGUGGGGGUGAGGAGUGAUUAGAGAGGAAUGGAGUGGAGAGAGGUAAAGGUUUUGGAGAGUUACAGGUAAAGAAAUUGAAGCAUGUCUUAGGAAAAGUGAAGAGAGGAGAAAUGAAGAAGAAGAAAUAUAAUUACUUUUUAUUUUUAUUAUAUGCGUGAUAUUUGACAACUAGCAACACAUGGUGCACACUACAUGGAAAGAAUGUGGUUGUGUAGUUUUAGGGUGGUUUAUAUUCCGCUUUAAAAUAGUUUAAGGGGUAAUAAGACCUCCAUAAAAUAUAAGUGUGUAGUUGAAAAUUCAGCUAGGUUAGGAGAUCAUUUGAUCAUUUUCUCCAUUUAAAUUUAUAGUACACUUUUAAUUUUAACUUUGGAAAAAAGGGAACCUUAUCGGAAUCUCUUGCCUUCUACCAAAACCAUGGGCUUACACUAUGUUUGGAUGGUUUUUUUGUAUUGAUUUAUAAUGUAUCGGAUUAUAUUAUAGUGUAUUAUUUUAUUAGAUAAUUUAUUUUCUAUUAUCACAUACUUUAUAUAUCAAUAAUUUGAAUCAUAGAAAGGUAUGAUAGACAAUAAAAUAUGAAGCUUUUGGAGUUCAUUCAAAUUACACUCUUUAUACAACUUUUUUUUUUCUUUUGUAUUUACUUUUUCAAAUUUCGAAUUGUGAAAAUUAUAACUCUGCCACUAAUCAUAGUUACUCUCUCUGUCCACUUUUAAUUAUCAUGUUACGUUUUUUAAAAGUUAAUUUAACUAAUUUUCAAAGUUAAAUUAAAUUACAUUAAUUCGAUAUUUUAAAUAUUCAAAACUACAUUAUACAUUCCAAUUUUUUGCAUAUAUGAAAAAAUAUAUGAUAAUAUGUUAAUCAAAGUUAAGUAUUAUUAUUUGAAACUAUGACAAUUAAAAGUAGACGGAGUAACAAAUAAGUAAAUUUUAGUGUCAUUCGUUCCCCUUUUAUAAAAGCCGGUCACAUACACAGAGUGAGAGAGACAAUAAUCGGAGCAGAGAUUUUAUUUUUUUUGAGAAAAUUAUCAAUGGAGAACGUGGAGAGCGUAGCAAAAGCUGCACUUGAGAAAUUGAAGGAGAUGAAUAUGGUGGAAAACGCAAAGGAGAUCGUCAAAAGAACAACACCGUUUGUAUCGGAAUAUGCGCGGAUCUUAUUUGAUGGGUUACUGGAAAAUCUGAAGCAGAUUGUCGUGAAAACGACGCCGUUCGUACGAACCUCAUCGGACUGGUUACUGGAAAAAGCUCCUCCACUGAUAUCUACUUCGAUAAAUUCGAUCCGUAUAGCUCCAAUAUAUUACACCAUUCCAAUUGGAUUUCUGCUAAUUUUGUUCCUCCGCCGG
rnacentral:lncRNA from 1 species